UCCAGGGUUCAGGCUAUGGGGGGAAGGGGGGCUCCAGGGUUGACCCUUGACCCAUCCCUCACACAGGGCCCCUGCAGGCCUUGGGUGACAAGCCCCUCUGCAGCCCUCAGGUCUCCUUUGACAAAAGAGCUCCUCUCCUCACUGCAGAAUGCCACCCACUCACGACAGGGGCAAUGUCACACCAUUCAGAAAUGGUCACUGCUUCUGGAUCCACACAAGAGGGUUCACCGAACAACCUUCAUUAAGCUGAUAUGAAAAGUACCGGAAAAGUACUGGGCUUGGGGCCUGGCCCAGAGGAAGCGAGGGGUAUCUGCUUCUUAAAAAGAUUCUCGAUUUCCAGUUUCUUGUUGGGACAAGGAAGAGACCCCCCCCGGUGCUUCCUGGGCUCUGCUCAGGUGCCCCCCAUCUUGGCGCAGUCGGACAGCCAAUGUGGCGCGUGUGCUGGGGCCCCAGGCGGGGAGGAUGCUGCCCGCCACACUCCAGGGGCCUUUGUCCGCGUUCCAAGGAGCCGCCCCCUUAGCGAACCCGGGACGAGGAAGAAGGAAUCGGCGAGGCCUGGGUGUGACAGAGCAAGGGCUGGGGAAGGAGUCCGCUGCACUGAAGCGUCGCUGGGGCAAGGUCGCCGCGCCCCUCCAGGGCUGGUCAAGCCGUUCCCCGGGGCGAAGCCUGGCUGACACCACCCUUCCUAAUCCCAGCCACAAAAUAUGUGAAGACACAACAGGGAGAUGACCGCACCUCCGCGGCAGGCGGGCUGAAGAGUAACACUCCUUCCAGGGAUGGUCAUAGUCUCUGAGUUUUGGGGACCGCUGACCUUCCGAAAUACUCGCAACCCUUCUGGCUGUCAGUUCCAUUUUCUCCAAGCCAGUUUUCUCCCAAUCAGGUCACGUGUCCCUUAGAGGGAUUCUGAUGACUUUGGAUGCUGCUGCUACUUGGAGAGCAAAGAGUGAAACUGAAGUAGAAUGAGUGGCAGGUGCAUCCCUCCCUCUCUCCCUAAAAUGUUCAAAGACCCAUGGAAGAUGAUAGUGUCCACGAGAUAGCUAGCAUUUUACAUAGUGCUCGCUGUAUGUAAAGAGUUGUUCUAAGGACUUUAAAUCUUUUAACUUAUUUAA